UACGUAGGCAGCGAGCGUUGUUCGGAGUUACUGGGCGUAAAGGGUGUGUAGGCGGUUGUUUAAGUUUGGUGUGAAAUCUCCCGGCUCAACUGGGGAGGGUGCGCCGAAUACUGAAUGACUAGAGUGCGGGGAGAGGAAAGUGGGAAUUCCUGGUGUAGCGGUGAAAAUGCGCAGAUAUCAGGAGGAACACCAAUGGCGAAGGCAGCUCGCUGGGAACGGUACUGACGCUGAGGGCGCGAAAAGCGUGGGGGAGCAAAACAGGA
rnacentral:rRNA from 1 species